rnacentral:rRNA from 1 species
GGCCAACCAUGUAACUCGAACGGCAGCAAGGAGAGCUUGCUCUCUGGGUGGCGAGUGGCGGACGGGUGAGGAAUACAUCGGAAUCUACUUUUUCGUGGGGGAUAACGUAGGGAAACUUACGCUAAUACCGCAUACGACCUACGGGUGAAAGCAGGGGAUCUUCGGACCUUGCGCGAUUGAAUGAGCCGAUGUCGGAUUAGCUAGUUGGCGGGGUAAAGGCCCACC